AAAAGGUGGUAAUGCCGGAUGCUCCAGUUGACCGCAUGGUCCUCUGGGAAAGCUUUUGCGGUAUGGGAUGGGGUCGCGUCCUAUCAGCUUGAUGGCGGGGUAACGGCCCACCAUGGCUUCGACGGGUAGCCGGCCUGAGAGGGCGACCGGCCACAUUGGGACUGAGAUACGGCCCAGACUCCUACGGGAGGCAGCAGUGGGGAAUAUUGCACAAUGGGCGCAAGCCUGAUGCAGCGACGCCGCGUGCGGGAUGACGGCCUUCGGGUUGUAAACCGCUUUUGACUGGGAGCAAGCCCUUCGGGGUGAGUGUACCUUUCGAAUAAGCACCGGCUAACUACGUGCCAGCAGCCGCGGUAAUACGUAGGGUGCAAGCGUUAUCCGGAAUUAUUGGGCGUAAAGGGCUCGUAGGCGGUUCGUCGCGUCCGGUGUGAAAGUCCAUCGCUUAACGGUGGAUCCGCGCCGGGUACGGGCGGGCUUGAGUGCGGUAGGGGAGACUGGAAUUCCCGGUGUAACGGUGGAAUGUGUAGAUAUCGGAAAAGAACACC
rnacentral:rRNA from 1 species